GACGAACGCUGGCGGCGUGCUUAACACAUGCAAGUCGAGCGGUAAGGCUCCUUCGGGCGUCCACGAGCGGCGAACGGGUGAGUAACACGUGAGUAAUCUGCCCUUCACUUCGGGAUAACCACCGGAAACGGUGGCUAAUACCGAAUACGACCAGUCUUCGCAUGAGGUGCUGGUGGAAAGUCUUUUCGGUGAAGGAUGUGCUCGCGGCCUAUCAGCUUGUUGGUGGGGUAAUGGCCUACCAAGGCUUCGACGGGUAGCCGGCCUGAGAGGGUGACCGGCCACACUGGGACUGAGACACGGCCCAGACUCCUACGGGAGGCAGCAGUGGGGAAUAUCGGACAAUGGGCGAAAGCCUGAUCCAGCAACGCCGCGUGAGGGAUGACGGCCUUCGGGUUGUAAACCUCUUUCAGUACCGACGAAGCGCCCUGUCGGGUGGUGACGGUAGGUACAGAAGAAGGACCGGCCAACUACGUG
rnacentral:rRNA from 1 species